UCACUUUACAUUUUAAAUAUCUUAUAAAGCUGUUUUAAUAUCAUAAUAUCCUUUAAAAGUACAAAAAAUAUCACGAAAAAGAAUAAAAAAUUAAAAAAAAAAAUUGUCUGAUUUCAACGAGAGUAGGAGCAUUCAAUUGCUAGUUGUUUAUGGAGUUAGAUAAACAUAUUUUGUAUCACGUAAAAAAUUACACCCUGUAUAUGCGGGUCAUAAUUUGCGGUUAUUAAUAGAAGCGAGGGGAGGCCUUUGCCCAGCAGUGGGACACUUAAUCAGGCUAACAAAAAAAAAAAAUAGUAGUAAUCAGGAAAUAUUUAAAUAACAAUAACUAUUGCAGAAUAGCACCACGUACCGAGCAAUAGAAUUACUAAAUAACUUCUUAGCUACAGUCCAAACCGCAGACAUAUUCGCAGACAAGUGGCCGAAUUUACAAUAUAAUAUCAGGAUGUUUUUAAACUCAACCUAUGUAAAAGUAUAGUAUCAGGAUUUACAAAGUAGUUUUUUUUUAACUCUACCAGUACCUAUGUAGAUAGAUUCAGGCCUUUUUUAAAUCUAUACAUAAUGUAAAGUUAAAUAAAGAUCCUAGAGAUAGUUAUGACUAUGUAUUAAGAGUAUAAGUGUUUUUGCAUAUCUAGAGCUGUAAACUUAUACUUGUAUUUAUUUAAAGAAUAAAGAAUAAAAGGACACAUGAUACACUUUUAACUUAUAUGGAUACGUAAGUAUAAAGUGAGUUUAUAACAAACUUAUGUUUUCCUGGUUUUUAGAGCAAAAUGGUAUUCUUAGCGCUAGAUGCUAAGUACGCAGAUAUGUUUUUAUAUUCUGCACUGGAACCAGUAAGUUUGUCAGGCAGAGCAGGUUUUUUACAAACAGCAACCCUCCUAAACUGUACAUCGGUGGACCUUAUUGCAAAAGACAUAAGGUCCGAUGUACAGUUAACAGUUUGGCGAUGGUACGUAUCGAGAAGUAAAUAUUUUGUUUUGCAAGUUUAUUUUAAGUAGGUACUUGGGCUCCUGGAUAGACGUGUUUUGUGGUCAUGAACUUGUUUUUUGUAAUUUCCAUUGUGCUAAUUAUAAGUGAUCUAGCCUAUACAGAUAAUUGUGAAUUAUCUGAAGUACCUCCAAAAUCAAACAGUGGAUGCUGUGGUCACGCCGUGGGUGGAGACAAGUCAAGUCGUUCCAUUGCCGGCAUCGGGGAAUAUCCGUGGAUGGGUUCCGUGGAAUAUCGAAAAAAAGACGAUACAAUAAAGUUCCUCUGUGGCGCGGUCCUCAUCAGCGGGAAAUACGUUCUGUCUGCUGAACGUUCUCUGAAACGGCUUUCAAGUAUGCCACGCCGUGAGUAAACUGUGAUUCCUUAAACAUGAAAGAAAAUGUUGCCGUUAUGAUUCUUUGUAUAAACAGGCUACGAAGAACCACGUUUCACGAUAAGAGGUUCUUGAUACAAAUCUAUGAGUAGUUGAGUACAGCCGGCGUAUUAUGGAUGGUUUUAUCCACGUGAUAAUAUAUCUGUCACUUUUUAGCAUCGCGGGAUAGAAAGUGACGAACACGGUUUUAUUAGGUACACUGUCACGUAGACAAGAACUACCAUCAUAUCCCAAUAUCAAAAACAUAUUUCUGUGUAAAACCACUUUCUCAAAUCACAAAACCAAUGUUAAAUCAUUUAUUAUCCUCCUUCGUUUAUUAAAGAUUUAUAUUUUAGAUUUGGCUUUUUACAAUAUGACGUAUAAAAGUUAAAUAUAAAAACCACUUACAAAACAAUUAAAAAAAAUAAACCUAUUAGAAAAAUAAAAUACUCAUCAAUAAAAAUAAUUUUGUUUGUAAUUUGGACAGUAACGUAUACGUUUAUGUC